rnacentral:rRNA from 1 species
AGUGAACGCUGGCGGUAGGCCUAACACAUGCAAGUCGAACGGCAGCACAGUAAGAGCUUGCUCUUACGGGUGGCGAGUGGCGGACGGGUGAGGAAUACAUCGGAAUCUACUUUUUCGUGGGGGAUAACGUAGGGAAACUUACGCUAAUACCGCAUACGACCUACGGGUGAAAGCAGGGGAUCUUCGGACCUUGCGCGAUUGAAUGAGCCGAUGUCGGAUUAGCUAGAUGGCGGGGUAAAGGCCCACCAAGGCGACGAUCCGUAGCGGGUCUGAGAGGAUGAUCGGCCACACUGGAACUGAGACACGGUCCAGACUCCGACGGGAGGGAGCAGUGGGGAAUGUUGGACAAUGGGCGCAAGCCUGAUCCAGCCAUACCGAGUGGGUGAAGAAGGCCUUCGGGUUGGAAAGCCCUUUUGUUGGGAAAGAAAAGCAGGAGGUUAAUACCCAGCUGUUCUGACGGUACCCAAAGAAUAAGCACCGGCUAACUUCGUG